GUAAGGCAGUCUAGUCACGGCGACGGUGAAGCAUGGAUUGUUGCCGAAUCGUUUCGCGUUACGGUUCGAUUUGCUUGGGAAUAUUGUUGUUUCUUCUUGGAUCGUUAUCGACAUCGACAUCAACGAGCGGAGUAUCAGGAAACUGAAAAUUAAAAAUCGAUUCGUUAAAAAUAAACCGUGAUCGAAACCGUCAACGUGAAAAUGAAGGAAAAGUGCGUCUCGUUAAACGUAUUCGAAGUGACGAUUUUUUGCUUAAUACGAUUAUUGUAAAUUUGAUGAAUUUUUGUGCAAUAAAACUGACCUGUACGGAUCGAAGCGUUUGGAGUAUCAUUCGAUGAGUCAAAAGUCAAGAGGAAUCGAAAGUACAAUUUUCCCGUGUUUUCCUCUAUCGCCGAUGUCCCGGUGGUCACGAUACGCAAUGACGAAUGAAUCGUGAAAGGAAUUAAUGCGCCAUCGGAAGUGGAAAUCUGAAUGAAUCACUGGAAAGCAAUAAAAAAGAAUUCGUCAUCAUCGAAAUGGAGAAUUUAACCACUUCCGAGAACGAUGCGGAAAGCACGAUCAUCGAUGGCGAACUAUCUAGGUUUCCGAAGCAGCUAAGGACAUUUGCAGCUGUAGUUGCCAUUAUAAUCAUGAUCGUUGGUCUCGCCGGUAAUUUACUCACUAUCAUUGCUUUAUGCAAAUACCCGAAAGUUCGUAACGUUGCCGCAGCUUUUAUUAUAAGCCUCUGCGUGGCGGACUUUGUAUUCUGCCUUCUAGUGUUGCCAUUCGAUUCCAUUAGGUUCGUGGACGCGAGUUGGGCGAACGUACGAUUUCUUUGUGUCCUUGUACCUUUCUUAAGGUACGGAAACGUUGGAGUGAGUCUUCUGUCUGUUGCAGCCAUAACUAUCAACAGGUAUAUCAUGAUAGCUCAUCACGGUUUAUAUAGUAAAGUUUAUAAAAAAUAUUGGAUAGCUUUCAUGAUAGUAUUCUGUUGGAUUUUCUCUUAUGGAAUGCAAGUACCCACCCUGUUAGGAGUUUGGGGCAGAUUUGACUACGAUUCAAACCUUGAAACUUGUUCCAUAGUGAAGGAUAAUAAUGGUCACACGUCGAAAACAUUCCUUUUUGUGAUGGGUUUUGUGAUACCUUGCGUUAUAAUCGUUGGAUGCUAUACCAAAAUAUUCUGGGUGGUGCACAGAUCGGAGUCGAGAAUGCGAAAACACGCAACCCCUACGAUCAAAUCGCCCCAUACACCGAGAAGAGAUGUCAGAGAGAUUAAACAAAGACGCAGCGAAUGGCGAAUCACAAAAAUGGUCCUUGCCAUUUUUCUCAGCUUUGUUGCUUGUUACUUUCCGAUUACUAUUGUUAAGGUUAUCGACGUUGAAGUUAAAUAUCCAGAGUUUCACGUUUUGGGCUAUCUACUAUUGUACUUUGCCUCCUGCGUGAAUCCAAUAAUUUACGUGAUCAUGAACAAACAGUACAGACAAGCGUACGCCGGUGUGAUUAGUUGUUCACGGAUAAGGACCAGUUUAACGCCUUACGGUAGCAGCGCGCCGGGACAACAACAUCAACAGGACUACGGCCAAGUUUUCAAUCCUGUCACUAGAUCAAAUUGGAAUAGAUAAAUGUUAAUAUAUGUAUUAUACGUUUCCAUAAGACUGUGCAAGGUGUUGAAACAUUCUAUCAUUCGAUUCACUGUGUUGAUUAUUCGAAGGAUUUUAGUAGGACCAUGGUGUCAACGGUAUCCAUCGCGAUGAAUCCUGUAAGAAAUUCUCAAUUCGAGGAAGGUCUCUGAAUAUUCGAAUAACCACUGCCCAAGCAUGCAAUAAAUAAUAUGUAUCAAAAUUAUAAUCAAUGGUUAAAGUAUGAAGGAAGGAAGAAAGGAAGAAAGAAAGACAAUGACUGAUAAGUGGUUGGGAGAAAACCAAAAAUAUGAAUGUAAAUAUAAUAAAAUAAACAUUAAUCUUAUCGUUAGUGAGGCACAGCAGAGCUAUGCUCUUAGGUUCAUCUCUCAGUAAUUUACAGGUAUGAUUAAGUAUUGUAUAAAUUAUUUGUCGAAUUAAGGGUUGUAUAAUAAUAUAAGAGAAUUUUAUCGUGUAGGUAUAGAAAAUGUUUGUACAAGACGUUUUUGUAAAUUUUCAAACUUACUCGAGCAACGAAUCACUAUUUGUCGAUAGACAAAUUAAACGUUAAAGUAUUAUUUAAUCCUUUAGUCUAGAGCAGUGGCAGCUCAUAGCUAAAAUUAGUUGGGGUGCUGCUCCAGAAAAUUGUUAGUCUUUGUUUUAAAAAAACCGGCACUGCGGGAGCGACAGUGCUCUUUCUCCCGCGCAGCCUCGCGCGCAGCUUCCUAUGUGCGCAUGCGUGCACAGUCAAACACCACGCUGCUGGAACUGUGAAGCGCACAAUUCCAUACAAAGAUUUUUGUAUCUUUUUCAUAAACUGGGAGAUGGUUACUGACAUUAAGCUUAAGGAUUAUAUAUUGUACAAGUAUAAAGAAAAAGGGACUCAUUAUAUUAAAUGUUAUCGAUAAUAUCAAGUGGAAAUAGGGGGUGCUGCAGUUCCACAGUGCCUAUACGCGAGCCGCCACUGGUCUAGAGUCUAGGUUCGACAUUCUACCAAAGGUUAAACAGUAAAAUGCAUUUGUACAUAAAAAAAUAAAUUAUAUAUCGAUUGUUGAAGACGUUUAUAGUUUGGAGUUAUGAAAUCGUUUCAUAUUUAUUUAAUAUUCUUUUAAAUUAAUCAAUAAGCGAAGAUAGUAUUAUAAGUGUAUCUUGUGUUCUUAGGAAUAAACGAAGUCACACUUUCUUUUCCUUUUUUAACCGACUUCGAAAAGGAGGAGGGUAUUCAAUUCGAUCAGUAUUUUUUUUUUUUUUUU